rnacentral:rRNA from 1 species
AUUGAACGCUGGCGGCAGGCCUAACACAUGCAAGUCGAGCGGUAACAGGGGUAGCUUGCUACCCGCUGACGAGCGGCGGACGGGUGAGUAAUGCAUAGGAAUCUGCCCGAUAGUGGGGGAUAACCUGGGGAAACCCAGGCUAAUACCGCAUACGUCCUACGGGAGAAAGGGGGCUYCGGCUCUCGCUAUUGGAUGAGCCUAUGUCGGAUUAGCUAGUUGGUGAGGUAAUGGCUCACCAAGGCAACGAUCCGUAGCUGGUCUGAGAGGAUGAUCAGCCACAUCGGGACUGAGACACGGCCCGAACUCCUACGGGAGGCAGCAGUGGGGAAUAUUGGACAAUGGGCGAAAGCCUGAUCCAGCCAUGCCGCGUGUGUGAAGAAGGCCCUCGGGUUGUAAAGCACUUUCAGCGAGGAAGAACGCCUAGUGGUUAAUACCCAUUAGGAAAGACAUCACUCGCAGAAGAAGCACCGGCUAACUCCGUGCCAGCAGCCGCGGUAAUACGGAGGGUGCAAGCGUUAAUCGGAAUUACUGGGCGUAAAGCGCGCGUAGGUGGCUUGAUAAGCCGGUUGUGAAAGCCCCGGGCUCAACCUGGGAACGGCAUCCGGAACUGUCAAGCUAGAGUGCAGGAGAGGAAGGUAGAAUUCCCGGUGUAGCGGUGAAAUGCGUAGAGAUCGGGAGGAAUACCAGUGGCGAAGGCGGCCUUCUGGACUGACACUGACACUGAGGUGCGAAAGCGUGGGUAGCAAACAGGAUUAGAUACCCUGGUAGUCCACGCCGUAAACGAUGUCGACCAGCCGUUGGGUGCCUAGCGCACUUUGUGGCGAAGUUAACGCGAUAAGUCGACCGCCUGGGGAGUACGGCCGCAAGGUUAAAACUCAAAUGAAUUGACGGGGGCC